CGAUUAAACUUUCCUUCGGGGAAGAUAUAAAGUGGCGCACGGGUGAGUAACACGUAGGUAAUCUACCUUUGAGUGGGGAAUAACAAUCGGAAACGAUUGCUAAUACCGCAUAAUGCAGCGGCAUCUUAUGAUGACAGUUGUUAAAGGAGCAAUCCGCUUAAAGAGGAGCCUGCGGCAGAUUAGCUUGUUGGUAAGGUAAUGGCUUACCAAGGCUACGAUCUGUAACCGACCUGAGAGGGUGGUCGGUCACACUGACACUGAAUAACGGGUCAGACUCCUACGGGAGGCAGCAGUCGGGAAUUUUGGGCAAUGGGCGAAAGCCUGACCCAGCAACGCCGCGUGAAGGAUGAAGUCUUUCGGGAUGUAAACUUCGUAAGAAUGGGAAGAAUAAAUGACGGUACCAUUUGUAAGGUCCGGCUAACUACGUGCCAGCAGCCGCGGUAAUACGUAGGGACCAAGCGUUGUUCGGAUUUACUGGGCGUAAAGGGCGCGUAGGCGGCAAUUCAAGUCAGCUGUGAAAUCUCCGAGCUUAACUCGGAACGGUCAGCUGAUACUGUUUUGCUAGAGUGCAGAAAGGGCAACCGGAAUUCUUGGUGUAGCGGUGAAAUGCGUAGAUAUCAAGAGGAACACCUGAGGCGAAGGCGGGUUGCUAGGCUGACACUGACGCUGAGGCGCGAAAGCUAGGGUAGCAAACGGGAUUAGAUACCCCGGUAGUCCUAGCCCUAAACGAUGUAUGCUUGGUGUCUGGAGUUUU
rnacentral:rRNA from 1 species